GACGAACGCUGGCGGCGUGCCUAACACAUGCAAGUCGAACGGAAACGCCCCUUCUGGGGUACCCCAGUUGCGUACCGGGGGGUAACACGUGCGUAACCUGCCCUUAACUUCCGGAUAACGGUACUAAACUGGGGCCAAUUCCGGAUAGGAAACCUUUCUCCCUGGUGGGUGUGCGCAAGUUUCGUUGGCUUUGGGUUGGCAUGCGGCCCUGCAGCUUGUUGGUGGGGUAGUGGCUUACCAAGGCUUUGGCGGGUAGCCGGCCCGGGAGGGCGACCAGCCACAUUGGGACUGAGAUACGGCCCAGACUCCGACGGGAGGCAGAAGUGGGGAAGAUUGCACAAGGGGCGGAAGCCUGAUGCAGAAACGCCGCGUGCGGGAGGACGGCCUUCGGGUUGGAAACCGAUUUCAGCAGGGGCGAAGCUUGUGGUGACGGUACCUGCAGAAGAAGCACCGGCUAACUACGUG
rnacentral:rRNA from 1 species